rnacentral:rRNA from 1 species
AUUGAACGCUGGCGGCAGGCUUAACACAUGCAAGUCGAGCGGUAGCACAGGGGAGCUUGCUCCCUGGGUGACGAGCGGCGGACGGGUGAGUAAUGUCUGGGAAACUGCCUGAUGGAGGGGGAUAACUACUGGAAACGGUAGCUAAUACCGCAUAACGUCGCAAGACCAAAGAGGGGGACCUUCGGGCCUCUUGCCAUCAGAUGUGCCCAGAUGGGAUUAGCUAGUAGGUGGGGUAAUGGCUCACCUAGGCGACGAUCCCUAGCUGGUCUGAGAGGAUGACCAGCCACACUGGAACUGAGACACGGUCCAGACUCCUACGGGAGGCAGCAGUGGGGAAUAUUGCACAAUGGGCGCAAGCCUGAUGCAGCCAUGCCGCGUGUGUGAAGAAGGCCUUCGGGUUGUAAAGCACUUUCAGCGAGGAGGAAGGUGGUGAGCUUAAUACGCUCAUCAAUUGACGGUACUCGCAGAAGAAGCACCGGCUAACUCCGUG